UGAAGGUUCAUGGAGCUUACAUUGCAGUGACCGUCAUUAACUAUCUUGAAAUAUCUAUUACUCUUCCCACAGGGUGGGAGGAUUGUGCUACAUGAACAUGCCCAGAGAUUUCUUCACUGUAGAGGCUUUGACCACCUCCUCUCAUGCAUGUUGGAGUCUCUAGACCCAUCUAUGAUGGCCUUUCCUUAUCAGCUCAAGACAGAGUUUUCCCAUUUACCAUCUGGAUGAAGUAUCCGGAGUCCAGACAGAAAGUUUCCUCUCUGUGAAAGACUCUUUGUCUUUGAUUCCUCCUUUUGAAACAU